UCUUUCAGUUUCCGUCUACCAAAUCCACUCACAAGGUUUUGGUCGACUCGAGGCUAUCGUAGAAGAGACUUGCCCAAGGGGCCACGCAGUGGGACUGAACCCAGGACCAUGUGGUUGGUAAGCAAGCUACUUACCACACAGUCACUCCUGCUUAGUUAAACGACGGGCUUCUUUCAGUUUCCGUUUAUCAAAUCCACUCACAAGGCUUUGGUCGGCCCGAGGCCAUAGUAGAGGACACUUCCUGAAGAUUCCACGCAGUGGGACUGAACUUGGAGCCAUGUAGUUGGGAAGCAUGCUUCUUAUCGCACAGCUACGCCUGCACCUAUGUAAAUAUUCAACGUUUUUUUUUUCUUUCCACCUUUGUAGAGUAGCUUCAAACAUGAUGAGCUGUAUGGAAUCAGCCGCUUCUGGAUGCGGUGAUGAAGUGAAUAAAAUAUUCGACCAAGUUCGUUCAUCAAUUGCAGAUUUAGGAUGUCCAAUGUCAUCAAACGUACCCAAACUGUAUGCUCGUAGCAGUGUCAUCUCUGGUGCUUUCAUUGCAGCAAUCGCCUUAAAGAAGUUACUUCUCUAAAUUUUUUAUUAUGACAUUCAUAAAAUUGAUAACUAUAUGUUGAUUUAAAAGUUGUAAACUUGCUUUCUAAAUGUAUGCACGAAUUAAAAAAGAGUACAAAUUCUUGUUGUCUUAAUCGUAUGUUGAUAUACAAAUUAUAACUUGAGCUGCCAUAAACUUUGAAAUAAAAUAAAAUUUAUUACCAUAAUAA